AUCCUUUUGUGGUUCAUGAACAUGAUGACUGGGAUUUUAGGCUCAUCUGUGAGAGCCUCUCUCAAACCUUGUUAGGGCCUUGGUGGCGCAUUACUCAACUGACG
ensembl:snoRNA